AGUGAACGCUGGCGGUGGGCCUAACACAUGCAAGUCGAACGCCAGCACACUAAGAGCUUGCUCUUACGGGUGGCGAGGGGCGGACGGGGGCGGAAUACAACGGAGUCUACAUUUUCGUGGGGGAUAACGUAGGACACCUUAAGACAGUACCGCAUACCACAUAAGGGUUUAAGCAGGGGAGCUUCGGACUUUGCGCGAUUUACUGAGGCGAUGUCGGAUUGGCUAGUUGGCGGGGUAAAUGCCCACCAAGGCGACGAUCCGUAGCUGGUCUGAGAGGAUGAUCAGCCACACUGGAACUGAGGCACGGUCCAGACUCCUACGGGAGGCAGCAGUGGGGAAUAUUGGGCAAUGGGCGGAAGGCUGAUCCAGCCAUACCGGGGGGGUUAAGAAGGCCUUCGGGUUGUUAAGCCCUUUUGUUUGGAAAGAAAAGCAGCCGGUUAUUACCCCGCUGUUCCGACGGUACUCAAAGAAUAAGCCCCGGCUAACUUCGUG
rnacentral:rRNA from 1 species